GACGAACGCUGGCGGCGUGCUUAACACAUGCCAGUCGAACGAUGAUCUCCCGCUUGCGGGGGUGAUUAGUGGCGAACGGGUGAGUAAUACGUGAGUAACCUGCCCUUGACUCUGGGAUAAGCCUGGGAAACCGGGUCUACUACUGGAUACUACUUCCUGCCGCAUGGUGGGGGGUGGAAAGGGUUUUACUGGUUUUGGAUGGGCUCACGGCCUAUCAGCUUGUUGGUGGAGUAAUGGCUCACCAAGGCGACGACGGGUAGCCGGCCAGAGAGGGGGACCGGGCAGUGUGGGACGGGGACACGGCCGAAACUCCUAGGCGAGGCAGGAGUGGGGAAUAGUGCACCAUGGGCGAAAGCCUGAUGCAGCGAGGGCGCGAGAGCGAAGAAGUAGUUAGGUAUGUAAAGCUCUAUCAGCAGGGAAGAUAAUGACGGUACCUGAAGAAGAAGCACCGGCUAAAUACGUG
rnacentral:rRNA from 1 species